rnacentral:rRNA from 1 species
GGUAUUCCGCACGAGCGCACCCUCGCCCUUAGUUGCCAUCAUUGAGUUGGGCACUCUAGGGGGACUGCCGGUGAUAAGCCGCGAGGAAGGUGGGGAUGACGUCAAGUCCUCAUGGCCCUUACGGGCUGGGCUACACACGUGCUACAAUGGCGGUGACAGUGGGCAGCGAACCCGCAAGGGGGAGCUAAUCUCCAAAAGCCGUCUCAGUUCGGAUUGUUCUCUGCAACUCGAGAGCAUGAAGUUGGAAUCGCUAGUAAUCGCGUAACAGCAUGACGCGGUGAAUACGUUCCCGGGCCUU